AUAGGUUUGGUCCCAGCCUUCCUGUUAACUUUCAAUAGACUUAUACAUGCAAGCAUCCACGCCCCGGUGAGUAACGCCCUUCGAAUCACACAGGACUAAAAGGAGCAGGUAUCAAGCACACACUCUUGUAGCUCACAACGCCUUGCUUAACCACACCCCCACGGGAGACAGCAGUAACAAAAAUUAAGCCAUAAACGAAAGUUUGACUAAGCCAUAUUGACCAGGGUUGGUAAAUCUCGUGCCAGCCACCGCGGUCAUACGAUUGACCCAAGCUAACAGGAGUACGGCGUAAAGCGUGUUAAAGCAUCAUACUAAAUAGAGUUAAAUUUUAAUUAAACUGUAAAAAGCCAUAAUUACAACAAAAAUAAAUGACGAAAGUAACCCUACAAUAGCUGAUACACCAUAGCUAAGACCCAAACUGGGAUUAGAUACCCCACUAUGCUUAGCCCUAAACACAAAUAAUUAU
rnacentral:rRNA from 1 species